UACGUAGGGUGCAAGCGUUAAUCGGAAUUACUGGGCGUAAAGCGUGCGCAGGCGGUUGUGCAAGACCGAUGUGAAAUCCCCGGGCUUAACCUGGGAACUGCAUUUGUGACUGCAUAGCUAGAGUACGGUAGAGGGGGAUGGAAUUCCGCGUGUAGCAGUGAAAUGCGUAGAUAUGCGGAGGAACACCGAUGGCGAAGGCAAUCCCCUGGGCCUGCACUGACGCUCAUGCACGAAAGCGUGGGGAGCAAACAGG
rnacentral:rRNA from 1 species